UACAGAGGGCGCAAGCGUUGUCCGGAAUUAUUGGGCGUAAAGAGCUCGUAGGCGGUCUGUUGCGUCCGCUGUGAAAAACUCGGGGCUUAACUCCGGGCUUGCAUUCGAUACGGGCAGGCUAGAGUUCGGUAGGGGGAGUCUGGAAUUCCUGGUGUAGCGGUGGAAUGCGCAGAUAUCAGGAGGAACACCAAUGGCGAAGGCAGGUCUCUGGGCCACAACUGACGCUGAGGAGCGAAAAGCAUGGGGGAGCGAACAGG
rnacentral:rRNA from 1 species